GUGGAUAUCGUCUAGCGGUUAAGACAUCUCACUGUGGAUGAGAGGAGCGUGGGUUCGAAUCCCACUAUCCACCCCA
rnacentral:tRNA from 2 species